GACGAACGCUGGCGGCGUGCUUAACACAUGCAAGUCGAGCGGUAAGGCCCUUUCGGGGGUACACGAGCGGCGAACGGGUGAGUAACACGUGGGUGACCUGCCCUCAGCUCUGGGAUAAGCCUGGGAAACCGGGUCUAAUACCGGAUAUGACUCCAUGACGCAUGUUGUGGGGUGGAAAGCCUUGUGCGGCUGAGGAUGGGCCCGCGGCCUAUCAGCUUGUUGGUGGGGUGAUGGCCUACCAAGGCGACGACGGGUAGCCGGCCUGAGAGGGCGACCGGCCACACUGGGACUGAGACACGGCCCAGACUCCUACGGGAGGCAGCAGUGGGGAAUCUUGCGCAAUGGGCGAAAGCCUGACGCAGCGACGCCGCGUGAGGGAUGAAGGUCUUCGGAUUGUAAACCCCUUUCGGGAGGGAAGAUGGGACGGGCAACCGUUCGGACGGUACCUCCAGAAGCAGCCACGGCU
rnacentral:rRNA from 1 species